CCUACGGGAGGCAGCAGUGAGGAAUAUUGGACAAUGGGCGCAAGCCUGAUCCAGCCAUGCCGCGUGCAGGAUGACGGUCCUAUGGAUUGUAAACUGCUUUUGCACAGGAAGAAACAACAUUACGUGUAAUGUCUUGACGGUACUGUGAGAAUAAGGAUCGGCUAACUCCGUGCCAGCAGCCGCGGUAAUACGGAGGAUCCAAGCGUUAUCCGGAAUCAUUGGGUUUAAAGGUCCGUAGGCGGUUUAGUAAGUCAGUGGUGAAAGCCCAUCGCUCAACGGUGGAACGGCCAUUGAUACUGCUAGACUUGAAUUAUAGGAAGUAACUAGAAUAUGUAGUGUAGCGGUGAAAUGCUUAGAGAUUACAUGGAAUACCAAUUGCGAAGGCAGGUUACUACUAAUUGAUUGACGCUGAUGGACGAAAGCGUAGGGUAGCGAACAGGAUUAGAUACCCUGGUAGUCCACGCCGUAAACGAUGGAUACUAGCUGUUGGGAGCGAUCUCAGUGGCUAAGCGAAAGUGAUAGUAUCCCACUGGGGAGUACGUUGCAAGAUGAAACUCAAAGGAAUUGAGG
rnacentral:rRNA from 1 species